rnacentral:tRNA from 1 species
GGGAGUAUAGCUCAGUGGUAGAGCAUGUGCUUAGCAUGCACGAGGUCCUGGGUUCAAUCCCCAGUACUUCCA